GCUCGGGGAACUGCCCGGCCUGAGAUGCCCAGGACUGGGACUGUUACCUUGGCUCCUGGCUCCCGAAGUCCCCUUCCGCCCAGGGAAUUGUGUCCGCCAUUUUCUUGGUCCCAGGAGCUCUGGGAAUGUGUCAUCCCCGGUAGAGGGUGCCCGUCACGGCCAACCACAGAGAUCCCGGUCCUCCGGGAUUCUAGAGCGUCCGGCCGAACCCUCCACUGACUUCCGGUGGCUGAGCCUCUCCGCAGCUUCCGGCCAAGUUGGACUGCCCCUCGCAGUUUCCUGGCUUCCAGGGGCACCUGACACAAGGUCUGGCCCUUCACCCGCACUGCAGCAGCCGCCCUUGUUAACGCUGUCCCCGCUCCGCCCAGUCCCUGCGGUGUUCCAGCAGCAUCUUCAGUGUGGGUAUUGCAGGCACCAAUGGAACAGGUUGGGGAGGAGAGUUUGGGACCAAGAACACCCAUGAACCCUUAGAAGCCACCAUAGAGGUGAGGACUGAAUUGUAAUCCCAUCAGCUGGUGACCUUAGGCAAGUCUCGGCCCUCUCUGAGCCUCAGUCUCACUUCUGCAAAAUGGGAGUAGUGAUCUGUUCCCCGGUCAUGCAGGAAGGAAUCUCGCCAAGGCUGAAAGUGGGGUGUUGAUCUAAAUCAUAACUGGUUCCAGGCGCCUGUACACACACGUUGACACACAGACAACACUCUUAGGUACAGGUUUACAUUCACACACAAAGAUUUGCACAAACACGCACAGAGAUUUGCACAAGCACACACCCAGGGCACAGGUACACACAAGCUACUGGGACAUAC
rnacentral:sRNA from 1 species